rnacentral:rRNA from 1 species
UACGGAGGGAGCUAGCGUUGUUCGGAAUUACUGGGCGUAAAGCGCACGUAGGCGGCUUUGUAAGUUAGAGGUGAAAGCCCGGGGCUCAACUCCGGAACUGCCUUUAAGACUGCAUCGCUUGAAUUCAGGAGAGGUGAGUGGAAUUCCGAGUGUAGAGGUGAAAUUCGUAGAUAUUCGGAAGAACACCAGUGGCGAAGGCGGCUCACUGGACUGGUAUUGACGCUGAGGUGCGAAAGCGUGGGGAGCAAACAGG